CGCGUAGGUGGUUUGUUAAGUUGGAUGUGAAAGCCCCGGGCUCAACCUGGGAACUGCAUCCAAAACUGGCAAGCUAGAGUACGGUAGAGGGUGGUGGAAUUUCCUGUGUAGCGGUGAAAUGCGUAGAUAUAGGAAGGAACACCAGUGACGAAGGCGACCACCUGGACUGAUACUGACACUGAGGUGCGAAAGCGUGGGGAGCAAACA
rnacentral:rRNA from 1 species